CUCAGGCUUAGGCUUAGGCUUAGGCUCAGAUUUAAACUUAAGCCUAGGAUUAGG
rnacentral:sRNA from 1 species